rnacentral:rRNA from 1 species
UAGGGAAUCUUCCACAAUGGACGCAAGUCUGAUGGAGCAACGCCGCGUGAGUGAAGAAGGCUUUCGGGUCGUAAAACUCUGUUGUUGGAGAAGAAUGGUCGGCAGAGUAACUGUUGUCGGCGUGACGGUAUCCAACCAGAAAGCCACGGCUAACUACGUGCCAGCAGCCGCGGUAAUACGUAGGUGGCAAGCGUUAUCCGGAUUUAUUGGGCGUAAAGCGAGCGCAGGCGGUUUUUUAAGUCUGAUGUGAAAGCCCUCGGCUUAACCGAGGAAGCGCAUCGGAAACUGGGAAACUUGAGUGCAGAAGAGGACAGUGGAACUCCAUGUGUAGCGGUGAAAUGCGUAGAUAUAUGGAAGAAUACCAGUGGCGAAGGCGGCUGUCUGGUCUGUAACUGACGCUGAGGCUCGAAAGCAUGGGUAGCGAACAGGAUUAGAUACCCUGGUAGUCCAUGCCGUAAACGAUGAAUGCUAGGUGUUGGAGGGUUUCCGCC